UACGUAGGGGGCAAGCGUUGUCCGGAAUCACUGGGCGUAAAGCGCGCGCAGGCGGUCAUCUACGUCUGGGGUGAAAGCCCGGAGCUCAACUCCGGGAUUGCCUUUGAUACUGUCGGUCUGGAGUAUGGAAGAGGUGAGUGGAAUUCCGAGUGUAGAGGUGAAAUUCGUAGAUAUUCGGAGGAACACCAGUGGCGAAGGCGGCUCACUGGUCCAUUACUGACGCUGAGGUGCGAAAGCGUGGGGAGCAAACAGG
rnacentral:rRNA from 1 species